rnacentral:rRNA from 1 species
ACGCGCAGAACCCUACCAGCGUUUGACAUCCUAAUCGCGGUUUUCAGAGAUGAUUACCUUCAGUUCGGCUGGAUUAGUGACAGGUGCUGCAUGGCUGUCGUCAGCUCGUGUCGUGAGAUGUUGGGUUAAGUCCCGCAACGAGCGCAACCCUCGUCCUUAGUUGCCAUCAUUCAGUUGGGCACUCUAAGGAAACUGCCGGUGAUAAGCCGGAGGAAGGUGGGGAUGACGUCAAGUCCUCAUGGCCCUUACACGCUGGGCUACACACGUGCUACAAUGGCGGUGACAGUGGGCAGCAACCGGGCGACCGGUAGNUAAUCUCCAAAAACCGUCUCAGUUCGGAUUGUUCUCUGCAACUCGAGAGCAUGAAGGCGGAAUCGCUAGUAAUCGCGGAUCAGCAUGCCGCGGUGAAUACGUUCCCAGGCCUUGUACACACCGCCCGUCACACCAUGGGANUUGGAUUCACCCGAAGGCAGUGCGCUAACCGCAAGGAGGCAGCU